ACAAACAGCCACGCCUGAACACACCUUGUUGCGUCUGAUUGAGGAAGCUAAGCAGGGUUGGGCCUGGUUAGUACUUGGAUGGGAGACCAACUGGGAAUACCAGAUGCUGGAGGCU
rnacentral:rRNA from 1 species